rnacentral:tmRNA from 1 species
GGGGGUAUCUGGUUUUGACAGCGUGCAGAAGCGGUAGGUAAGCAUGCAGAGCUUUGAUGUGCAAGCUCUAUAAUCACAACGCAUCGACUUAUAAUUGGCGAAAAUAACAAUUACGCUCUCGCUGCGUGAACUGAAGUACAGUAGGUUCCCUUUAUUCGCCUCACAGUGAGGUGAACGAGACAUCACUCCAUUGCCCUGUUCCGAGACGUUUGGACAAAGUGGUGCUGAGAAAUUCGGAAAUUGGGGUGCCGGGGCCUCGACGGCAUCCUGAAAUAAAGAGGAUAAGGAUAUGGUUGGUAGUCGUGAGCCUGCCAUAUCACGAAAACCAAGUCAAUGACUAAGCAUGUAGAAAGCUUAUUGAUUCCACGUUUGGACGAGGGUUCGAAUCCCUCUACCUCCACUU